UCUAAAUGGAACAGAGAAUCCUAAAGGGGGAGGAGUAUGGAGGUGUCUAUGCGAGUCUCACCCAAAGGGAGCCUCUGGAUCUUCUUAAGCAGAGGAGUGACCUGGCCAGUCAGACCUGCACUUGAGAGGACUUUCACUUUAGCGUCUGUGUGGAAGAAGUACUGGAGAGCCAAAAGAGUCAUUGAGAGGCUCCUGCCAAUACUCCUGGAAAAGAAGCAAUGGGGACCUACGUUAGUUGGGAAUAGUAAUAGCAAUGCCAAGAGAAAAAAAACACAUCAAUGAAACAAUAAUAAGAUACAGAGAGUCACUGAGAAGCAGGAUAGUGUUAAGAUUACUGUAUUAAAUCUAUUAGAUAUAUAAAAAACAAAACAAAACCCAGCUGUGCAUAACAGAAACGCAUACCUUUAUAUAUGAUUAUCUUUUUCUGCUCUUUUAUGUAUGUGAAAAUGACGUUUUUGUUGAUAAACUUUUUAAUAAAAACACAUUUUUUAAAAAAUGUCAGGAAAUUGAAAAUGUAAAGGGCAAGUGAAUUUGAACAGUUUUUUCUAGGAGUUUGGCUCUGAAAGAAAGGAAAAUGAAGAUGAAAGUCUCAGGGGAUGGUGAAAUUGAAUGCAGGUUUUGUUGUUUUCUGUUUUUAAUUUUAAGGAUGGGAGCAAACCUGCACAGGUUUGAAAGCUAUAGGGAAAACAGUCAGUCUAUCAGGAAAAAAAAAUAAAAAGGACUGGCAUGUGGCAGCAUGGCUACAUGCCUUACUCUAGCAGUGUUCAACA